rnacentral:rRNA from 1 species
GGACGAACGCUGGCGGCGUGCUUAACACAUGCAAGUCGAACGGUAAGGCCCUUCGGGGUACACGAGUGGCGAACGGGUGAGUAACGCGUGAGUAACCUGCCCUUGACUCUGGGAUAACAGAUGGAAACGUCUGCUAAUACCGGAUACUCAGCCUUGUGGGCAUCCGCAGGGUUGGAAAGCUCCGGCGGUCAAGGAUGGACUCGCGUCCUAUCAGCUAGUUGGUGGGGUAACGGCCUACCAAGGCGACGACGGGUAGCCGGCCUGAGAGGGCGACCGGCCACAUUGGGACUGAGAUACGGCCCAGACUCCUACGGGAGGCAGCAGUGGGGAAUAUUGCACAAUGGGCGAAAGCCUGAUGCAGCAACGCCGCGUGCGGGAUGACGGCCUUCGGGUUGUAAACCGCUUUCAGCAGGGACGAAGCGCAAGUGACGGUACCUGCAGAAGAAGCACCGGCUAACUACGUGCCAGCAGCCGCGGUAA